rnacentral:ribozyme from 1 species
CUGAGGCAAGCAUGCGUGAGGUCCAUCGAGAAAUUACGGGACACCUCUCUCAGAAUGAGUCGUUUGAAUUCUUAGCUAACGUCAAACUGAAUGAAGUCAAAAAGGUUUGGAAAAAGGCUUCGACGGAAAGCUCCGUUGAAAGACAAGAAAAGCAACAG